GGAUUCCCCUAGUAACUGCGAGUGAAGCGGGAAAAGCUCAAAUUUAAAAUCUGGCAGUCUUUGGCUGUCCGAGUUGUAAUCUAGAGAAGUGUUAUCCGCGCUGGACCGUGUACAAGUCUCCUGGAAUGGAGCGUCAUAGAGGGUGAGAAUCCCGUCUUUGACACGGACUGCCAGGGCUUUGUGAUGCGCUCUCAAAGAGUCGAGUUGUUUGGGAAUGCAGCUCAAAAUGGGUGGUAAAUUCCAUCUAAAGCUAAAUAUUGGCGAGAGACCGAUAGCGAACAAGUACCGUGAGGGAAAGAUGAAAAGAACUUUGGAAAGAGAGUUAAACAGUACGUGAAAUUGCUGAAAGGGAAACGCUUGAAGUCAGUCGCAUUGGCUGAGAAUCAACCUUGCUUUUGCUGGGUGUACUUCUUAGUUAAUGGGUCAACAUCAAUUUUGACUGUUGGAUAAAGUCUGAAGGAAUGUGGCAUCUUCGGAUGUGUUAUAGCCUUUAGUUGCAUACAACAGUUGGGAUUGAGGAACUCAGCACGCCGCAAGGCCGGGUACUUGUACCACGUUCGUGCUUAGGAUGUUGGCAUAAUGGCUUUAAUCGACCCGUCUUGAAACACGGACCAAGGAGUCUAACAUGCCUGCGAGUAUUUGGGUGGAAAACCCGAGUGCGUAAUGAAAGUGAAAGUUGAGAUCCCUGUCAUGGGGAGCAUCGACGCCCGGACCAGACCUUUUGUGACGGAUCUGCGGUAGAGCAUGUAUGUUGGGACCCGAAAGAUGGUGAACUAUGCCUGAAUAGGGUGAAGCCAGAGGAAACUCUGGUGGAGGCUCGUAGCGAUUCUGACGUGCAAAUCGAUCGUCAAAUUUGGGUAUAGGGGCGAAAGACUAAUCGAACCAUCU
rnacentral:rRNA from 1 species